rnacentral:miRNA from 1 species
AUCACCUGAAGAUCUUGUUAAAAUGCAGAUUUGGUUCAGUAGAUCUAGGCCUGAGAUUCUGCAUUUCUAGCAAGCUCCAGGUAAUGC